rnacentral:tRNA from 1 species
AUUGCGGUAGCUCAGUUGGUGGAGUACCUGCCCAACAAGCGGGAGGCCACCGGUCCGAUACCGGUUCGCAGUA